rnacentral:rRNA from 1 species
UACGAGUGCCUCAAGCGUUAUCCGGAAUCACUGGGCUUAAAGCGUGUGUAGGCGGAUCGUUAAGUACCUUGUGAAAUCCCACGGCUCAACCGUGGAACUGCUGGGUAUACUGGCGAUCUUGAGCCACCUAGGGGCGAGCGGAACAAGCGGUGGAGCGGUGAAAUGCGUAGAUAUCGCUUGGAACGCCAAUGGUGAAAACAGCUCGCUGGGGGUGUGCUGACGCUGAGACACGAAAGCCAGGGGAGCGAACGGG